CUCUCUCACACACACACACACACACACACACACACACACGCGGGUCAGAAAGCCUAAAGACCAUAUUUGUAUACUUUGUAAGAGGGGAAUUCUGCACAGUCAAGGAACUCUGAACUGCUGCCUGAAGUACUGAGGAUGCUGCUGCCUUUUUGCUCUGUUGCCUUUUUCAGUUCUUCAGCGUAAAAGAGCAAUCACAGUUCGGUUUCACGUGUAUUGUUCUAUAAUCCAGGCAAUAAAUGCUAAUUAGUAAUGCUCAAGGAUCCGACCACUCAGAGUAAUUAUCAUAAUUUACUUCUUCCUUGUUAAAGACAUUCCUUGCUGAUUAAAAAAAAAAAAAUGAGCCGCACUUCUGCCAUUGCUCUGCAGUGGAAAUGCACUGGAGGUGCUCAGCGUAGAAUAAUACAUGCAGACGGCCUUCUGAAGCCCCUGAUAUGUGCCUCUUGGCCUAUUCCAAAUGGAAUUGCAACUUAAUUUCUGGAAGGAAAUUCAUGUGAAUGCAUAAAGUUUUGCAUGUGCACCAGGAAUGUCUGAUUUUAUUUUACAAACCCCCAGGCUCCUCCUCCCUGGCCCACCCCUCUCUAAAACCACUGACUGAGCAGAACAAAGGAAACUGCUAACUAUAGAGGCAUCACGAAGUGUGAACGGCAACAGCAUGAUCCAGUGUGUGAUAUGACAACAUAUUUCACUGCACAGAAGUGCAGAUAAUUAAAUAAUUCAAUAGUAAGCCUGACUAAAUUAGCAGAAAGAUCUUGAAGGAGGAAUCGAGAAAAUGGAUCCAAAUCAACUUGAAUAAUCUGCUCCAAUCUCCAAGAUCACAAAUACGGAUUUAUUUAGACGGUGAUUGAAGGGCUCAGACAGAACGAUGAAGACAAAACACAAAACCCUGUUCCUCAAAAUGAAGCUUGGAUCUGGCAGCAUUCUCCUGUAGAACAAAUUAAUCCUGUGUCUUGUAAGAGCAGCAUUUAACAUAGGACUGUUUUCCAUCAGAAGCAUACUCCGCUCUCCUAUCGCAUAUUUCUCUUUUAUAGAUUGAUCUAAAGAAAUUCUCAUCCCCUUAGCUCGCCCUGCUAUUGCUUCAGAGAAAUAUAUGUAGCCUUCAACACAUUUUCUAAUGAGGCUGGUGUGCAUGUGCGUUUCUUAUUGUUUGAAGCAAGCAAGGACCUGUGCUAAAUAUUAUAGCUGACGCCCCCACCCCAGCUAUGUCUGUCAGGGUAAUAUACCCAGUGUUCAUUGCUCUCACUGGUCUUUUCAAGAAGAGCUUCAGUUCUGACUUGGUGCUUGCAAGCAUAUUAGAGGAAUAAUUCCUUUUGGAUACUAUGCUGAAGGAGCCACCUGCAAAGUGUUGAUGCUGUUCUUGAAAUCUCAAGUGGAAUCAGCUUUCAAAAAAUUAGAUAUUAGAUACAUCCGGUAUAAUUUGCGGUGUAUAAUUAUACUAAUGUGCAUAUAGUUGCGUGUUGCUUUAUGUUACCUACUUGAGAUCCCACCACCGCCACCAGCACCCCUUGGGCCUUUCUUAUCACUCGAAAUGACUCCCGAGGAGAAUCUUUGUAAAGCUAGCUUUACAGAAUACUCCUUGCUAGUUGGUGUAGAGAUAAAAAGAAAUCUCCAGUCGAUGCUUUCAUGCAAGUAUGAAUGAGCAGGACAUGGAUACUGGAAAUUAAUGUUCUCUACAAGGACUCACAUUGCGGACGGACACUAGCAUUAUUUCUAAAAUAUCUGCUAUUCUGUGUUAAUUUAGUCUUCUUCCUGACUUUGGACAACUUGAGUAAUAGGCAACAUUAGAAUAGUAAAUCUUAUUCAUAAGAAAUUCAUUUCCUUUAUUGGAAUAAUGAAAUAAAGUGCCGUGGAAAUGGCCUUAGGCAGAGAUAAUAGUUUUAAUUUAAUCAGAGUAAUCAAAAUCAUGACAAUAAUAAACAUCUUUUCUAGUUUUCUCUCAUUUGCAUGAAUCAUUGCGGCCCUGCCUCAGGUCAUGUGGGCACUAACACCAGCUUCCCUUUCGGUGUCUCCACCUGACAUCAGAGACCUACUGAUGAUCGUCCUGCUGGAGACACCCUGCCCCUUUGAGGAGCUGCCCCCUGGAGAUCUUGCUAUUAAGGAAAGAGCCAAGCAGAGCCACAGCAAACUGAUUGGUCAGCCUGGCCCUUGGCUCUUGCUAGGUGCUCAGUAGGUGAAGAUGCUCUUGAUGCAAAUGUGGGGAGUCAUUACCAUCGGAUCACAGGCGGACCUUGAGCAAGGCCACGGAAGAGACCCAAUAUAUGCUGAUAUAUUCAGGACACUAACAGGAGUCUAGGGAGGCUCAUGUUGAGAUGCUAUCAGAUAUUACUCACUCCAAUGUGUUGCCUGCUGGAUGGACCAGAAGCUUUCUCUACACUACGUCUUCUCCCAGAGCACCACGUGGUACUUUUGUUCACAUACACAAUGUCACUGCCUGACUGACCUUAACCAAGCAAGGUGUCCAGUGAGAAGCAGCAAUGUUGUCGGUGUGAUGUCCGUGUGAUGCAGUAUUCCACCUGCACUUAGAAGUAGCAUGCCCCCAAAGUAGCAUUGUGUUUGUUUAUUUUUACUGAAGAGUCAAUGUUACAACCUUCUGUGACAUGUUCUGUUAUUUUUUUUUUUUUAGUUGUGUUGAUCUUCUUUUCAGCUAAUCCCAGUACCCCCCUCCUCAGGAAUGCCUCCCCACUGAAAGGACAAAGACUGCAGAGAGAUGGACCUUCAGGCCAACUCUGAAGCUGAAGCAAAGAAUGCAGUCACCCAGAGACCCUCCUGCUCAGCAGCACACCAGGUGGUGUGCUUUUAGCCAGCAGAACUCUCAAAAGAAGCAGGGGGGGGGGGAGACAUCUGGAUGGCAGUUGAGCCAGAGACUUUGUCCUUCCUCAUGUGUAUUCCUCUGUAUCUAAAUUCACUGUGAUAGUCUUUUUUAUUUUAUUAUUUUGUGAGUGUGAUUAUGCUUAUUAACACACCAAUUUUGGAACCGCACCAAUGUGUCCUCUUAGGGAACCAGACUGAUGCUAUCAGUAGGCUGGUUCUGAGUGACCUAAAAAUACAAGAAGCAGCUGAUGCAAUGGAACAGCCACAGAUGACGUAAAGGCUAAAACAAUGCUGGACAUUCCUAACACAGCCUGUAAACACCACAUUAUAAAACCACUGCACACUAAACCAGCCAGCCUGCCAUUUAUCAAGCAAACUAGGUUCUGGGGAACAUGGCUGAUGCCUCUACAGAAUUUAAAUCUACGGACCAGUUGGUGGCCCUCCCAGUGGAGAGCACACGUUACCAUGUGCAAGGACCCAGGUUCAAGCCUCCAGUUUCCACCUGCAUUGGGUGGGUGACAACUCACAAGCUGUGAAGCAGUGCUGUAGGUCUUGCUGUCUGUCUCUUUCUCUCUCCCCCCCCCCAUUUACCCCUUCCCUUCAAUUUCUCUUUGUAUCUACACAAUUGAUAAUAAUCAUUCAUAAAAAUCAUUGAUAACAGUCAUUGAUAAUGACAAAAAUUCAAAUCUAGUUAAAAGUGGUACAUAAACUUUUGGGAAGAUAACAAAACAGAUCAAUAGGUGAUUAAAGAAGGAAUAAAACCAAAGAUACAAACAAGAAACUCAGAGGUCUCCAUAACUGGACAAAACUGGUUUAGGGAAGGAAGAUCCCAAAUGCAGAUAAUAAGAAAUUGAGAUAAUGAAAAGGAGAUUUCUUUAGCUGGACACACUAUUCUGAGCAAAGCCAUGGUGGAAGGAAUCUACUUGGUGACUUUAGGGAAUUAGAAGUAGACAUUUCUAGUUGAUUUGACCCCGUGUUCACUGCCAGUGCUUAUGCACAUCCAGCCCCCUCUCCCACCAGGCUAUUGUCUUAAAUUGCACAUGGAUAUGUUUUCCCUUCUGUUAAAGCAACAGUGGUGGGUGAUAAUAUGGAGAACUUGUAAUUUUUCUAUUUUCCUGACAAUAAUUGGUAUUUCCUGAGCUCUCACUGUGCAUUAAGCAGUUUACGUAUAAAUUUAUGUAAGGUUCACAACCACUCUGCAUAAUAUGCGUCCCCCUCCUUUUGUAGGUGAGAAAGCUGACAGUGACCAUGGCCAGACAACUCUCCUAAGUGCCAGGUGUAGGGUUCACAUCACUCACAUCCCAAAGCUGAGCAACCAAGGUACUAAGUCACAGUACUGUACCCGUGCUGCUAUGUUAUCUCUUCUUUAAUCUUUGAUAUUUUUUCUAUCAGAUUUUCUUAUGGAUAUCUUCUUAGCCAACUUUAUGCACGGUAUGUAUAAGUGCUUCUGCAUUAAUCUUUUCUAUAACAACUUUGAGGGUUUUUUUUUUUAGAGUUUUUAUGAUUUUUAAAGUGUUAAUAAUGAUUUGCCACUUCAGUCCUUAGUGAUCCAAGUAAAUAAUUCAAGGAUACUUUGAUCAUCAAAAGAUAGAACUGAAGAAAACUAACUUUUCUUAGCCAGACCCUUUGUACUUGGUUGGUAGGUAGUGGUGACUAAUAAAGUGGUCAGCUGGUUAGCACAAGUCCAGAAUGCGGUUCUGCUUGGAUUCAUUUAGGACUCUUAAGCACAAACAUCUGGACUCUGUAGCCAUUUAGAAGUCACGAGUAUUCGACAGCUGUAUCUGGCAUUGUUUGACUUAAGUCUCUUCAUAGCUCAGGUUAUCCUGUCUCCACAAUGAUAAUUGUUGGCUAUAUCACACACAGUUCUCAUUAAGUGCGCUUAAGAGUCGUUUUAAGAGUAGCCAAGCACAAAAUGUGACUUUGUUGGCAUUUCAUGAAACUUUGUCCUAUGCCCUCCAAGCCCCCAAUAAAAGCAAUGUUGCAUCAAC